rnacentral:lncRNA from 1 species
UUCGUCCCCGAAGGUCGGGAAGAACUGGUGCUUCUCGGCCAUGGCGUGCUUGGCGCAGAAGCGCACGAUUAAUGGCGACAUUGAAGGCGAGCGCGAGUUCUUCAAAGCCACGCAAGGAGGGGUUGCGAGACGACUCCAUCGAUCUCCUCUGCGCCGCCAUUAUCGCGUCGGCGACAAAUCCUUCUGCCGGCCCCAUCCGUCGCCCGUGUCAGCCGUCUGCGGAUUGCCGGAUGAACGAGAAGGACAACUCGAGGUGCGAUUCCCCCAGUUCCUCCCUCUGCGCCUUACCUUCGCAUCAGCUUGUUGCCAGGGAAACAGAUAGUUUCCUAUUCAGUCGUACUGUUCUUGCUUUCGUGAAGGAUCCUACAUUGACAAUCCCCAAUUCUCUUUGAUAUCCUCUGAAAUGAAGAUUUGACGCCUGUUCUAAGAACUAUCCUGCGACCAAUGUCGUUUGCAGUGUUCCGAUAGUGUGCCAAAGCAGAGGGAAGCCUUGUUCUUAAAAUAACCAGAAAUAGGGAUCUUCUGUGCUCUCCGAGCUGUUCCCGCCAUGCCCUUCUUCUUUACCAGUUGUUGUUUGAGCAACAGAGAUUAUCGACACAGAAAUUUCUACAUCUUUAUUCCCUCUGUUCAACAGUUCCGGAUUGUUUAAUGUGGGUGCUUGCGCAUUUAAUGUAUCAUUCUAGAGAUUCAUAAACUCUAUGCUGAUAUUGAUGAAGAUAUAAUUGCCCAGGAAUCUAGUUUUUCUAAAUGCUUUAAUGAAAGUGAUGAUCUACAAGUAUAUAUACUUUAAAGUGUAUCUCAAUUUUAUUUCCCCAAGUUAAUUUGAUCUUAUGAUCUCAUGAGUAAUCAAACCCGAUCACACAUACACACACACACACGAUGAUUCAAAAAGUUUCCAUACAUGAAGCAGCUUCAGACACUUUAUUAUCUCUGUGUUUGACCUUGCUGUUGUCAAAGUAUUUAUGGACUGUAUAAUUGCUCUUAUUGCAUUAAUUAAAACGCAUGAUAUGAAAUUGGUAAAUCUUCCUAAUGGUUUCCUAUUUUAUAGAGUAAAUCAAUGUAGGAUAUUGAGAUAAAAGACGAGGUAAGUAUGCUUUCAUUUAUCAUAAAAACUUUGUUCAAAAAUUGUAUCAAAUCUCUUGUUAAAAUAUAUUCGUUGACUUUGCAUUCCAAUCCAUCUCGAUAUUCAUUUGACAGCCGUCUUUCUGUUUUUUCCCUUCCGGCUAAGAUUUUUUCAGAAUUGACAGAUACCUUAGGAUUUUUUGCUUUUUUCCGGUCUUUUCCUGGAUCAAAAUCAUUAAGAGAAAGAUUAGUGGGGUUGAAAUAACGAAUAGUGUUCACCAAAUCUUUCAAUCAACAGCGAAAGUCAUUCCGCAGUAUGUCCUCCUUGGGGAAUUUGCAUCAAGGGAAGGCUUUUUCCGAGGCUGUUUUAAUCUUUUUUAUAAUAAUAGUUCAUCCAUAUUUCUGUUGUUCUGUAUUCCUCAGCAAGCAAAUCAUCGAUUACCGCCCAGAUUCUGGACCAGUUCCUUGAUGAUUGGUUAUCCAUAAACUUUGAUUAGAUCAUCUGUCCAUAUGUGAGAUGGAGAGAGAAACAGAUUCAGUCUCCAAUCAUCUUAUUGUUCUUAUAUCUGGUUAAAAAAAAAAGAAACAGAUUCACUCAUAAAUUGCUUUUCCAUAGGAGGCUGACUACCACAUCAAUCAUUUAGAUUGAAAGAAGCAUGAUGUUUUUUCUUUUUAUAGAUAAUUUCAACGAGUUUAGAUUCUCCCUCCGUUUCCUGCUCAGAAUUGCUCAUGAGCGGGC